UAGGGAAUCUUCCGCAAUGGACGAAAGUCUGACGGAGCAACGCCGCGUGAGUGAAGAAGGAUUUCGGUUCGUAAAACUCUGUUGUUAGGGAAGAAAAAAUGUAUAGUAACUAUAUACAAAAGAGACGGUACCUAACCAGAAAGCCACGGCUAACUACGUGCCAGCAGCCGCGGUAAUACGUAGGUGGCAAGCGUUGUCCGGAAUCAUUGGGCGUAAAGCGCGCGCAGGUGGUUUAGAAAGUCUGAUGUGAAAGCCCACGGCUCAACCGUGGAGGGUCAUUGGAAACUAAUAAACUUGAGUGCAGGAGAGAAAAGUGGAAUUCCUAGUGUAGCGGUGAAAUGCGUAGAGAUUAGGAGGAACACCGGUGGCGAAAGCGGCUUUUUGGCCUGCAACUGACACUGAGGCGCGAAAGCGUGGGGAGCAAACAGG
rnacentral:rRNA from 1 species